rnacentral:rRNA from 1 species
AUUGAACGCUGGCGGCAUGCCUUACACAUGCAAGUCGAACGGUAACAGGUCUUCGGAUGCUGACGAGUGGCGAACGGGUGAGUAAUGCAUCGGAACGUGCCCAGUAGUGGGGGAUAGCCCGGCGAAAGCCGGAUUAAUACCGCAUACGACCUGAGGGUGAAAGGGGGGGAUCGCAAGACCUCUCGCUAUUGGAGCGGCCGAUGUCAGAUUGGCUAGUUGGUGGGGUAAAGGCCUACCAAGGCAACGAUCUGUAGUUGGUCUGAGAGGACGACCAGCCACACUGGGACUGAGACACGGCCCAGACUCCUACGGGAGGCAGCAGUGGGGAAUUUUGGACAAUGGACGCAAGCCUGAUCCAGCAAUGCCGCGUGCAGGAAGAAGGCCUUCGGGUUGUAAACUGCUUUUGUCAGGGAAGAAAUCUUCUGGGUUAAUACCUCGGGAGGAUGACGGUACCUGAAGAAUAAGCACCGGCUAACUACGUGCCAGCCGCCGCAGUAAAAC